CAGACUGCAUUGGUUAAACUUAUGGGGCUGUCACAUGAUGAACGAACGACUCAAUCCCGAAGAUUUGUAAAACAGAGCUGGCAACGAUGGCCACAUUUGUAUUCAAAGCCACAUAUUACCUGCUUCAAUCUACAGUCAAACUGACAGACGAGCCACACUCUCUAAGUCAAGGACAUAUGACUAAGCACUGGAGUCUGCUCAGCUUUGAUUCACAGUUGAUUCCAGCUGUUCAUGAGCCUGAGGAUGGCGUGCGGACGCAUGUGACAGAUGUGCUAGCAAAAGUAUAAUGAGUGCAGAUUUGUACCAAUGAACUCGCUGAAUCAUAAUGAGCUUCAACUGAAAACCCCAACAGGUUUUUGUAGACUUUAAUGAAGACAGACAGUAGGUGAUGAGAUGCCACUGAUACCCGCUGAUUUACAUACAUCUUGUAAAUCAAAAAGAAAACAAGAUUAUGUUUCAGCUUCUACAUUUUUGAUAUCAUGAAGCAGGAAUUCUCUUUGUAAAUGGACAGUGCUGUUUCAGGGUUACUUUUGGUGUGGACCUGUUGGACGUCAGCCUUUUUUACAUCAACCAAAAACAGGCCAAACUCUGACAUCAAAUAGACACAGCUUUUAUUUGAAAAGAGAAGAAUAAGGUAAAUGACAGUUCACACAGGACAUGUUCUUGCAGUUUAUCUGCACUGUUUUGUUUUUUUAAUUGGUCAUGUACGCACAGUAAACCUAUAGAUUGAUGUCACUGAUCCAUUUCUGGGUUCUGAAAUC